rnacentral:rRNA from 1 species
AUUGAACGCUGGCGGCAUGCCUUACACAUGCAAGUCGAACGGCAGCACGGGAGCAAUCCUGGUGGCGAGUGGCGAACGGGUGAGUAAAGCAUCGGAACGUGCCCAGUCGCGGGGGAUAACGUAGCGAAAGUUACGCUAAUACCGCAUACGAUCUAUGGAUGAAAGCGGGGCAUCGCGAGACCUCGCGCGAUUGGAGCGGCCGAUAUCAGAUUAGAUAGUUGGUGGGGUAAAGGCUAACCAAGCCGACGAUCUGUAGCUGGUCUGAAAGGACGACCAGCCACACUGGGACUGAGACACGGCCCAGACUCCUACGGGAGGGAGCAGUGGGGAAUUUUGGACAAUGGGCGCAAGCCUGAUCCAGCCAUGCCGCGUGCAGGAUGAAGGCCUUCGGGUUGUAAACUGCUUUUGUACGGAACGAAAAGGUUUGACUUAUUACGUUGGACUCAUGACGGUACCGUAAGAAUAAGCACCGGCUAACUACGUGCCAGCCGCCGCAGUAA